GUCCCUUCUUCACCCCCCAGCCCCGGCAGCCCCGGCGCAGAGCUGGAGAGGGAGACGGACCCGAGCGCAAGUCGCGGGCCCAGCUGUGAGCCCGGCGGGAGACAAUCCGCCGUCCGCGCUCGAGAGACGCCGCGGCCGCAGGGUCUCCAUUUUAGGGUGUUCUAACAACUGAGCCCUAUUAACAUUUUCAUCAUGGGCUUCCGCUUGGCUCUGGCAUGGACACUCCUGAUUGGGCCAUGGGUGCCCAUGGGAGCUCAGAACCCCAUUUCAUGGGAGGUGCAGCGAUUUGAUGGGUGGUACAACAACCUCAUGGAGCACAGAUGGGGCAGCAAAGGUAGGUGAGAGCCAAGUGGAGAUGGAGCCCCAGGGUCAGGGAGGUAGCCACCGCUAAGGGGCAAGGGCUGGCAGGUACCAGCAAAGGCUCACCCAUUCCUAAGGUUUUAGGAUCUGUGGUGUGGAAGGGAGCCUGGCAGAGAGGUCAGGGAGCCCCCUGGGGAUUCAUCCUUGCCCCUACCCCUCCUACUCUAGGCUCCCGGCUGCAGCGCCUCAUCCCAGCCAGCUAUGCAGUUGGUGUGUACCAGCCCUUCCGAGAGCCUCAUUUGCCCAACCCCCGGGCACUUAGCAACACAGCCAUGAGGGGCCCCGCAGGGCAGGCCUCCCUGCGAAACCGCACAGUGCUGGGAGUGUUCUUCCACGAGAGCCUCAACCUCUGGGGAAGGGAAGCCAGUGGGGUCAGCUGGACACCUCUGUGUCUGAGGCGGGGAGUCAGGGAAUGAAGGGAGAGAGUGAUGGAGGGUCUGAGAGAGGGGGUGAGAGAUGGAAGAGGAGGCAAUGGGGUGGGGUAGGGGUCGGAGCAGGGGGAGAACGUCUGCUUGGGGGAGGCAUAAAUCUGCGUCACCUUGAGUUGUUGAUGGGAGUAGGGUUAGAGGAGCAUGGAAAUAAUCUGGUAGGUACUCUUGGGGGGACUCUGUUCUCACUCUGCCCCUGUGGCUCCUAGGACAGGUUCAGGGCAGGGUUCUGAUUCUGGUAAGAGGGCUGGGGGGUGGGCCAGCAAAAUGGGGGUGCCAGGUGGGCCUGACUGCAGUGACUGUGGGUUGUUGGCUCCCAGCAGGAAUGCUCAGCUCCUGCUGGCCAUCCAUGGUGCCCACACUUGCUAUCCAGUGUCCAGUGUCCCACUGAGUCUGGCAGGCCCUUUGGGCAGCCUGCUCCCAGCUGCAUUUUGGAGCCGGUGCUGCCAGCCCUACUGCUUAGGCACAUUCACUGGGCACCUCCCAGUUACCAAGGAGAAGACCAAACUUACAACGAAAACAGUUUGGAUGAAGGCUUGGGAAGGGGUGGGGAGGUCCAGGCUUACACUUGACCUUAAUGGCUUCUGAGUCUUUUGAAGCUUCAGGGGAAGCGGGUGGGGGGUCUAGAUAGACUGCUCAGCGGCCCUCAGCUGGCCCUCCCACGCCUUCCGCCAUUGCGGGCAG